AGUGAACGCUGGCGGUAGGCCUAACACAUGCAAGUCGAACGGCAGCACAGUAAGAGCUUGCUCUUACGGGUGGCGAGUGGUGGACGGGUGAGGAAUACAUCGGAGUCUACUUUUUCGAGGGGGCUAACGCAGGGAAACUUACGCCAUUCCCGCAUACGACCUAAGGGUGAAAGCAGGGGAUCUUCGGCUCUUGCGCGAUUGAAUGAGGCGAUGUCGGAUUAGCUAGUUGGCGGGGUAAAGGCCCACCAAGGCGACGAUCCGUAGCUGGUCUGAGAGGAUGAUCAGCCACACUGGAACUGAGACACGGUCCAGACUCCUACGGGAGGCAGCAGUGGGGAAUAUUGGACAAUGGGCGCAAGCCUGAUCCAGCCAUGCCGCGUGGGUGAAGAAGGCCUUCGGGUUGUAAAGCCCUUUUGUUUGGAAAGAAGAGCAGCAGGUUAAUACCCCGCUGUUCUGACGGUACCCAAAGAAUAAGCACCGGCUAACUUCGUG
rnacentral:rRNA from 1 species